AACAGGAUUAGAUACCCUGGUAGUCCACGCCGUAAACGUUGGGCGCUAGGUGUGGGGAUGGGUUCCACUGUUUCCGUGCCGUAGCUAACGCAUUAAGCGCCCCGCCUGGGGAGUACGGCCGCAAGGCUAAAACUCAAAGGAAUUGACGGGGGCCCGCACAAGCGGCGGAGCAUGUGGAUUAAUUCGAUGCAACGCGAAGAACCUUACCUGGGUUUGACAUGCACUGGAUCGCCCCUGAGAGGGGGUUUCCCUUGUGGCUGGUGCACAGGUGGUGCAUGGCUGUCGUCAACUCGUGUCGUGAGAUGUUGGGUUAAGUCCCGCAACGAGCGCAACCCUUGCCCUAUGUUGCCAGCGGGUGAUGCCGGGGACUCGUAGGGGACUGCCGGGGUCAACUCGGAGGAAGGUGGGGAUGACGUCAAGUCAUCAUGCCCCUUAUGCCCAGGGCUUCACACAUGCUACAAUGGCCGGUACAGAGGGCUGCGAGAUCGUGAGGUUGAGCGAAUCCCUUAAAGCCGGUCUCAGUUCGGAUCGGGGUCUGCAACUCGACCCCGUGAAGUCGGAGUCGCUAGUAAUCGCAGAUCAGCAUUGCUGCGGUGAAUACGUUCCCGGGCCUUGUACACACCGCCCGUCACGUCAUGAAAGUCGGUAACACCCGAAGCCCAUGGCCCAACCGGUUUUCCGGGGGGAGUGGUCGAAGGUGGGACUGGCGAUUGGGACGAAGUCGUAACAAGGUAACC
rnacentral:rRNA from 1 species